UGCAGAUAAACAUCGAUAAUUAACCAUCUGAACUCUAAUUGUGAAUGUAUAUCGUUAUCAGUGUUGCCUCGACAGUUUUGGGCCUCAAGCAGAAGAAAAAAUUAUGCCUAGUACGACAAUAUGGUAACUUGCGAGCGACGAUGCGAGUCAGUGCUCCGUCCACCACCAUCGAGGCAGGAUGUACGGCGGUGCUCUCCCUCCUCCUCCACCUCCUGAGUAUUCCUGGCGGGCAGCGAUGAGCAAGCAGAAGAGACGCAACGCCUUCUUCUUCUACUUCAUGAUGGCCAAGAAACCCGAAGUAGAGAAGCGGCUCAAGAGAAAGGUGGAUAUGGCCAAGCUGGUGACGGCGGAGUGGCAGGCACUCCCAGAGGAACAGUGGAAGAAAUACCAGCUGAUGACCGGAGAAAGCAGGGAGAGGCUGAAUUGCCGAGGGGUGACGCUGCGCUGCCUUGACGAGGCUGCUCAGGAGAAAAAGCACCAGGCCGAGGAGAUGAAGAGGGACAUUGUCGACUUGGUGGACAUUAUGUGUGUGUGUGUGUGUGUGUGUGUGUGUGUGUGUGUGUGUGUGUGUAUCACAACCUAGUUCAGACCUCACCAAAGCAUGCAUUGUGUUCAAGUGAUCUCAUACAAGCAAGCAUAUUAACCCGGCAGCAGCGACGGGUCAAAUUUGUGCCAUGAUAUAAUUAUACCUCCCAAAAUAGAUGAUGCAUAAACUGAUCACAAAUGCUUUGAUAUAUAUUAUGAAAUGGUUUGUGUGAGGGCUGAUUUUUUCUAAUUUUUCUCGCUCAGAGGGACCAUUAAGAAACAUGAUCCACCACCGCCUGGUUAAUAUGUGCCGCCGACGAUCUGUUCAGCAGGAUGCAGCGUGCUCUGAGGCGACCCCGGGCAGGAGGCAACAUGUGACCUCGUGCGCCAAACCUUUGACCUCUAUUCAGGAGCAGGCUAUGGCUGACUGGCUGAUGCUGUCUGGUCACUCAGCUCAGCAAGGGACUGGAAGCUGGAACUCUCUCUCUCUCUCUCUCUCUCUCUCUCUCUCUCUCUCUCUCUCUCUCUCUCUCUCUCUCUCUCUCUCUCUCUCUCUCUCUCUCUCACACAAAAAAAAAAAAGUAGCGUAAAAGUGUAUAAGGUCCAUUGAAAAGAAGAGAGAGAGAGUGUGUUCCAUCUCAUCCUCUCUCCCUCUCUCUCUAUUCCCCCAACAUCCAGGCGGCAUCUUGGGAGGGGAGGAGAAGAGAAGGGAAGGGAAGAAUACAAUAGCUCACUGGUGGACAGAGGAAAGAGACAAGGAAGAAGAAGAAGAGACUCGUCUCGUCUGGUCUCCCCCAGCAUCCAGGCAGCAUCUUGAAGGCCUGACUGGUUCCUUCGGCUCAGUGGUCUCGUCUCUGUCUCCCUCCCUGCAAGAGUCUGGCAGAGUUUAGUGCCAAGAAUGUGUGUGUGUGUGUGUGUGUG